UACGGGGGGAGCAAGCGUUGUUCGGAUUUACUGGGCGUAAAGGGCGCGUAGGCGGCACCGCAAGUCGACUGUGAAAUCUCCGGGCUUAACCCGGAAAGGUCAGCCGAUACUGCGGGGCUAGAGUGCAGAAGGGGCAACUGGAAUUCUCGGUGUAGCGGUGAGAUGCGUAGAUAUCGAGAGGAACACCUGCGGCGAAGGCGGGUUGCUGGGCUGACACUGACGCUGAUGCGCGAAAGCUAGGGGAGCGAACGGG
rnacentral:rRNA from 1 species